UACGUAGGUGGCAAGCGUUGUUCGGAAUUAUUGGGCGUAAAGGGCGCGUAGGCGGCUUGUUAAGUCGGCUGUGAAAGCCCUGGGCUCAACCCAGGAAGUGCACUCGAAACUGACGGGCUUGAAUAUGGAAGAGGGUCGCGGAAUUCCCGGUGUAGAGGUGAAAUUCGUAGAUAUCGGGAGGAACACCAGUGGCGAGGGCGGCGACCUGGGCCAAUAUUGACGCUGAGGUGCGAAAGCGUGGGGAGCAAACAGG
rnacentral:rRNA from 1 species